UUCUGGUUGAUCCUGCCGAAGGCUACUGCUAUUGGAGUUCGAUUAAGCCAUGCGAGUCUAAGGGAUCUUCGGAUCCCUGGCGUAAUGCUCAGUAACACGUGGAUAAUCUACCCUCAGGUGGGGCAUAAACCCGGGAAACUGGGGCCAAUUCCCCAUAAAUACAGAUGGCUGGAAUGCUUCUGUAUUCAAAGCUCCGGCGCCUGAGGAUGAGUCUGCGGCCUAUCAGGUUGUAGUCAGGGUCAAGACCUGACUAGCCAGCGACGGGUAUGGGGUGUGAGAGCACUUGCCCAGAGAUGGUUUCUGAGACACGAAACCAGGCCCUACGGGGCGCAGCAGGCGCGAAAACUUCGCAAUGCGGGAAACCGUGACGAGGGAACUCCGAGUGUCUAUGCAUUGCAUAGACUGUUUUUUAGCCUAAAUAGCUAUUAGAGUAAGGGGUGGGCAAGACCGGUGCCAGCCGCCGCGGUAACACCGGCACCCCGAGUGGUAGCCACUAUUAUUGGGCCUAAAGCGUUCGUAGCCGGUUUGGUAAAUUCUUGGGUAAAUCGUACCGCUCAACGGUGCGGAUUCCGGGGACACUACCAGACUUGAGACCGGGGGAGAUCAGAGGUACUUGCGGGGGAGCGGUGAAAUGUUGUAAUCCCGCAGGGACCACCAGUGGCGAAGGCGUCUGAUCAGAACGGCUCUGACGGUGAGGAACGAAACCCUGGGGCGCAAACGGGAUUAGAUACCCCGGUAGUCCAGGGCGUAAACGCUGCUGACUUGGUGUUGGGGAUCCUACGAGGAUGUCCAGUGCUGGCGCGAAGGUAUUAAGUCAGCCGCCUGGGGAGUACGGUCGCAAGACUGAAACUUAAAGGAAUUGGCGGGGGAGCACUGCAACGUGUGGAGCGUGCGGUUUAAUUGGAUUCAACGCCGGAA
rnacentral:rRNA from 1 species